AGAAAGUGUUUAAGCGAAGCCGCACGAGCUCGCAGAGCUAAUCGCUUCAAGACUGUUGAGGAGCGAACAGGAUCACUGAGACUGAGGCUUAUACGUUCAAGAGAGGAUGAGAGCCGGGGAGGAGCUACAACCUGCAGAGAGGAAGACCGUGGGGGGGGAUAAGUAUAGAGAGCAGCGAUAAAGAGCCUUGGAGAGAACUACCUGAAAGGAAGGAAGUGAAGAAGGACAGAAGAACAGAAGGAGCCUGCAGGGUUGUGCAGGCUGCACCCGUGAUAGUGGCUGGCUGCAUUCAGAAACACCAGGAGGACUGACAUCUCAAUGGACUCCCUAUUCCAUCACUAUCAGCUUACAGCCUGUAAUUACGCCCAAUCAUCUUGGAUCAAGGCUUUCGGCCUGAACGGCCCAGCGUAACAUCUGCUGCCUGGACGACCUGGCUUAGGAGGACUUUCAUAUGGAAAGGUGAGCUAAUAGUGGUGCAGCAAAAGAGGAGGGAGUGUGACGUUAACAGGUACUGAAGCCCAUUCACAAGAUGUUUUUUUUUUCUUUCUGAGAGCAGGUGCUCAGAGGUAUUUCUCAUCACCCCUCUGCCAGUGAUGAAGCUUUAGAGCGCUGCAAUAAAUCUAUGUAUUUAAUUUUGAGGAGUCUAAAUUAAAGGGCAUUCUGCUGUUUUGAGACCAAAAUAGGCUUUAUUGUCACCACAGAAAUGUCUUUAUAUAAGUAGGAUAUUUAUAUGUAAGUUGACAUUUUUUCCCCUAAGAUUCUUUCUGGAAACCAUUUAGUACAUCCUUAACAGCAA